AUUGAACGCUGGCGGCAGGCCUAACACAUGCAAGUCGAGCGGAUGAAGGGAGCUUGCUCCUGGAUUCAGCGGCGGACGGGUGAGUAAUGCCUAGGAAUCUGCCUGUUAGUGGGGGAUAACGUCCGGAAACGGGCGCUAAUACCGCAUACGUCCUGAGGGCGAACGUGGGGGAUCUUCGGACCUCCCGCUAUCAGAUGAGCCGAGGUCGGAUUAGCUAGUUGGUGGGGUAAAGGCCUACCAAGGCGACGAUCCGUAACUGGUCUGAGAGGAUGAUCAGUCACACUGGAACUGAGACACGGUCCAGACUCCUACGGGAGGCAGCAGUGGGGAAUAUUGGACAAUGGGCGAAAGCCUGAUCCAGCCAUGCCGCGUGGGUGAAGAAGGUCUUCGGAUUGUAAAGCACUUUAAGUGGGGAGGAAGGGCAGUAAGUUAAUACCUCGCUGUUUUGACGGUACCAAAAGAAUAAGCACCGGCUAACUUCGUG
rnacentral:rRNA from 1 species